UUUGGAACGCGAAGAACCUUACCAGGUCUUGACAUCCUCUGACAACCCUAGAGAUAGGGCUUCUCCUUCGGGAGCAGAGUGACAGGUGGUGCAUGGUUGUCGUCAGCUCGUGUCGUGAGAUGUUGGGUUAAGUCCCGCAACGAGCGCAACCCUUGAUCUUAGUUGCCAUCAUUAAGUUGGGCACUCUAAGGUGACUGCCGGUGACAAACCGGAGGAAGGUGGGGAUGACGUCAAAUCAUCAUGCCCCUUAUGACCUGGGCUACACACGUGCUACAAUGGACGGUACAAAGAGUCGCAAGACCGCGAGGUGGAGCUAAUCUCAUAAAACCGUUCUCAGUUCGGAUUGUAGGCUGCAACUCGCCUACAUGAAGCUGGAAUCGGUAGUAAUCGCGGAUCAGCAUGCCGCGGUGAAUACGUUCCCCGGGUCUUGUACACACGCACAA
rnacentral:rRNA from 1 species